GUGGUGGUGUCGCUUGUUCAGCGCUUCUGGCGUGCAUUCUGGCGAUACCUUGUCGUUGUGGCUGGUUGGUACGUGAUUUUGACGUACCGGCUGGUGAGGGCUCCCUUUCGGUGAGGACAACGACAAAAUGACGCAAUACGACCCGUCUUGAAACACGGACCAAGGAGUCUAGCACGGCUGCGAGUCGAAGGGUGUAAAACCCAAGGGCGCAGUGAAAGCGAAUUUAUAAGCAAAUUGGGGAGGCGUGGAGUUUUUAACAAAAUGUCCUACCUUGAGCAUUUGUGCUGGGACCCGAAAGAUGGUGAACUAUGCCGGAGUAGGGCAAAGCCAGAGGAAACUCUGGUGGAGGCUCGUAGCGAUGCUGACGUGCAAAUCGCUCGUCGAACUUGGGUAUAGGGGCGAAAGACUAAUCGAACCAUCUAGUAGCUGGUUCCCUCCGAAGUUUCUCUCAGGAUAGCGGGCCGACAUAUGUUGUUUUGUGCGGUAAAGCGAAUGAUUAGUGCAUUUGGGGUCUGAUAGACUUCGGGCGAUUCUCAAACUUUAAAAGCGCAAGGGGGUGGCUGCUUAAUUGAGCCUACUCUUUGAAAAACGUCGGCCCUGUGGGCCACUUUUGGUAAGCAGAACUGGCGAUAAGGGAUGAACCUUAAGCGCGGUUAAGGCGCCGCAUUGCCCGCUUAUAGACCCCACAAAAGGUGUUGAUUCAUUUAGACAGCAGGACGGUGGCCAUGGAAGUCGGAAUCCGCUAAGGAGUGUGUAACAACUCACCUGCCGAAUGAAUUAGCCCUGAAAAUGGAUGGCGCUUAAGCGGGCAGCCGACACCGCGCCGUUCCGGCGAGACGAUGCCGGGAUGAGUAGGAGGGCGUGGCGGUCAGUGACGCAGGCGAGGGUGCAGACCCCGCUGAAACGGCCGCUAGUGCAGAUCUUGGUGGUAGUAGCAAAUAUUCAAGCGAGAUCCUUGAAGGGCGAAGCGGGGAAGGGUUCCACGCAAACAUUGAUUGGGCGUGGGUGAGUCGUUCCUAAGCCGAGUGGCAAUUGCUAAGUAGCGGCGAAAGGGAAGCGGGUUAAAAUUCCCGCACACGGAUAUGGAGGCGGCGACGCAAGCAGAGGCAAAUACGCUGGCGAGGGCGCUGGGCAGAGUUGUCUUUUCUGUUUGACCGGCAUCGCGCUGUGUGGAAUCCGCUUAUCGGGAGAAACACGCGCGGGGAGGGGCAGAGCGUCAGGUCUUUUCUGGCGUCCGGCUCGCCCUCGACGGCCCUUGAAAAUUGCCCGCGAACUAAAUUUCAUGCUGUGACGUACCGAUAACCGCAGCAGG
rnacentral:rRNA from 1 species